rnacentral:rRNA from 1 species
AGCGAACGCUGGCGGCAGGCUUAACACAUGCAAGUCGAACGGGCGUAGCAAUACGUCAGUGGCAGACGGGUGAGUAACGCGUGGGAACGUACCUUUUGGUUCGGAACAACCCAGGGAAACUUGGGCUAAUACCGGAUAAGCCCUUACGGGGAAAGAUUUAUCGCCGAAAGAUCGGCCCGCGUCUGAUUAGCUAGUUGGUGUGGUAACGGCGCACCAAGGCGACGAUCAGUAGCUGGUCUGAGAGGAUGAUCAGCCACAUUGGGACUGAGACACGGCCCAAACUCCUACGGGAGGCAGCAGUGGGGAAUAUUGGACAAUGGGCGCAAGCCUGAUCCAGCCAUGCCGCGUGAGUGAUGAAGGCCUAGGGUUGUAAAGCUCUUUUGUGCGGGAAGAUAAUGACGGUACCGC